rnacentral:misc_RNA from 1 species
GAUGAAGAACGUGGCGAAAUGCGAUAAGUAAUGUGAAUUGCAGAAUUCAGUGAAUCAUCGAAUCUUUGAACGCACAUUGCGCCCGCCAGUAUUCUGGCGGGCAUGCCUGUCUGAGCGUCAUUUCAACCCUCAUGCCCCUAGGGCGUGGUGUUGGGGAUCGGCCAAAGCCCGCGAGGGACGGCCGGCCCCUAAAUCUAGUGGCGGACCCGUCGUGGCCUCCUCUGCGAAGUAGUGAUAUUCCGCAUCGGAGAGCGAUGAGCCCCUGCCGUUAAACCCCCAACUUUCCAAGGUUGACCUCAGAUCAGGUAGGAAUACCCGCUGAACUUAAGCAUAUCAAUAAGCGGAGGA